UACAGAGGAUGCAAGCGUUAUCCGGAAUGAUUGGGCGUAAAGCGUCUGUAGGUGGCUUUUUUAAGUCCGCCGUCAAAUCCCAGGGCUCAACUCUGGACAGGCGGUGGAAACUACCAAGCUGGAGUACGGUAGGGGCAGAGGGAAUUUCCGGUGGAGCGGUGAAAUGCGUAGAGAUCGGAAAGAACACCAACGGCGAAAGGCAACUCUGCUGGGCCGACACUGACACUGAGAGACGAAAGCUAGGGGAGCGAAUGGG
rnacentral:rRNA from 1 species